rnacentral:rRNA from 1 species
CCUACGGGUGGCUGCAGUGGGGAAUAUUGCACAAUGGGCGCAAGCCUGAUGCAGCCAUGCCGCGUGUGUGAAGAAGGCCUUCGGGUUGUAAAGCACUUUCAGCGGGGAGGAAGGCGUUAAGGUUAAUAACCUUGUCGAUUGACGUUACCCGCAGAAGAAGCACCGGCUAACUCCGUGCCAGCAGCCGCGGUAAUACGGAGGGUGCAAGCGUUAAUCGGAAUUACUGGGCGUAAAGCGCACGCAGGCGGUCUGUCAAGUCGGAUGUGAAAUCCCCGGGCUCAACCUGGGAACUGCAUUCGAAACUGGCAGGCUAGAGUCUUGUAGAGGGGGGUAGAAUUCCAGGUGUAGCGGUGAAAUGCGUAGAGAUCUGGAGGAAUACCGGUGGCGAAGGCGGCCCCCUGGACAAAGACUGACGCUCAGGUGCGAAAGCGUGGGGAGCAAGCAGGAUUAGAUACCCUGGUAGUC